CAGUAGCCACGGUAAUACAGAGGGUGCGAGCGUUAAUCGGAUUUACUGGGCGUAAAGCGUGCGUAGGCGGCUUUUUAAGUCGGAUGUGAAAUCCCUGAGCUUAACUUAGGAAUUGCAUUCGAUACUGGGAAGCUAGAGUAUGGGAGAGGAUGGUAGAAUUCCAGGUGUAGCGGUGAAAUGCGUAGAGAUCUGGAGGAAUACCGAUGGCGAAGGCAGCCAUCUGGCCUAAUACUGACGCUGAGGUACGAAAGCAUGGGGAGCAAACAGGAUUAGAUACCCCCGUAGUCCCUGUCUCUUAUAA
rnacentral:rRNA from 1 species